UACAGAGGGGGCAAGCGUUGUUCGGAAUUACUGGGCGUAAAGGGCGCGUAGGCGGCCUGUUAAGUCGAACGUGAAAUCCCCGGGCUCAACCCGGGAACUGCGUCCGAUACUGGCAGGCUUGAAUCCGGGAGAGGGAUGCGGAAUUCCAGGUGUAGCGGUGAAAUGCGUAGAUAUCUGGAGGAACACCGGUGGCGAAGGCGGCAUUCUGGACUGUAACUGACACUGAGGAACGAAAGCCAGGGGAGCAAACGGG
rnacentral:rRNA from 1 species